rnacentral:rRNA from 1 species
UGUUGUUCUCAAAGAUUAAGCCAUGCAUGUCUAAGUAUAAGCAAUUAUACCGUGAAACUGCGAAUGGCUCAUUAAAUCAGUUAUCGUUUAUUUGAUAGUACCUUACUACUUGGAUAACCGUGGUAAUUCUAGAGCUAAUACAUGCUGAAAACCCCAACUUCGGGAGGGGUGUAUUUAUUAGAUAAAAAACCAACGCCCUUCGGGGCUUCUUGGUGAUUCAUGAUAACUUUACGGAUCGCAUGGCCUUGCGCUGGCGACGGUUCAUUCAAAUUUCUGCCCUAUCAACUUUCGAUGGUAAGGUAUUGGCUUACCAUGGUUUCAACGGGUAACGGGGAAUUAGGGUUCGAUUCCGGAGAGGGAGCCUGAGAAACGGCUACCACAUCCAAGGAAGGCAGCAGGCGCGCAAAUUACCCAAUCCCGACACGGGGAGGUAGUGACAAUAAAUACUGAUACAGGGCUCUUUUGGGUCUUGUAAUUGGAAUGAGUACAAUUUAAACCUCUUAACGAGGAACAAUUGGAGGGCAAGUCUGGUGCCAGCAGCCGCGGUAAUUCCAGCUCCAAUAGCGUAUAUUAAAGUUGUUGCAGUUAAAAAGCUCGUAGUUGAAACUUGGGUCUGGCUGGCGGGUCCGCCUCACCGCGUGUACUUGUCCGGCCGGGCCUUCCUUCUGGAGAACCUCAUGCCCUUUACUGGGCGUGUUGGGGACCAGGACUUUUACUUUGAAAAAAUUAGAGUGUUCAAAGCAGGCCUUUGCUCGAAUACGUUAGCAUGGAAUAAUAGAAUAGGACGUGCGGUCCUAUUUUGUUGGUUUCUAGGACCGCCGUAAUGAUUAAUAGGGACAGUCGGGGGCAUCAGUAUUCAAUUGUCAGAGGUGAAAUUCUUGGAUUUAUUGAAGACUAACUACUGCGAAAGCAUUUGCCAAGGAUGUUUUCAUUAAUCAGUGAACGAAAGUUAGGGGAUCGAAGACGAUCAGAUACCGUCGUAGUCUUAACCGUAAACUAUGCCGACUAGGGAUCGGGCGAUGUUCUUUUUCUGACUCGCUCGGCACCUUACGAGAAAUCCAAAGUUUUUGGGUUCUGGGGGGAGUAUGGUCGCAAGGC